rnacentral:rRNA from 1 species
UACGGAGGGAGCUAGCGUUAUUCGGAAUUACUGGGCGUAAAGCGCACGUAGGCGGCUUUGUAAGUAAGAGGUGAAAGCCCGGAGCUCAACUCCGGAACUGCCUUUUAGACUGCAUCGCUUGAAUCCAGGAGAGGUGAGUGGAAUUCCGAGUGUAGAGGUGAAAUUCGUAGAUAUUCGGAAGAACACCAGUGGCGAAGGCGGCUCACUGGACUGGUAUUGACGCUGAGGUACGAAAGCGUGGGGAGCAAACAGG